AAAAGUCAAAAUUUUAGGAUGGCUUGUGUUGAAUCAAAAGGUACUUACUAAGAACAAUCUACUGAAAAGAGGAUGAUUGGGAGAGGUGACUUGCGUGCUCUAUAUGGAAGAACCCGAGACGGCCAACCAUCUUUUUUCGAGAUGUCGUUUCUCAUGUGAUUUGUUGGCUUGUCUAAUGCCGAAUAAAGGGGCCUUAAGCGCCUAUACUUUGGCCAAUGAGCAGUGGAAGGUUAGCAAGCUGUAAGUGGGGCAUAGUAGGGAGAAAAAAGCCAACGAUCAUCUCCUCUACUUGGUGGGCUUUACGGUUGCAACGGAGUAGAAGAAUUUUUUACAAUAAGAAGUUAUUGCUGAGACAGUUGCUGGUGGACUUACGCACACUUAGGAAUAUGUGGGAUUUUUAUUGUGUUUAGUUGUUUUUUUUUUUUUUUUCUGCGAAGCCACAAUACUUCACUCUGUUGCUAAAUUCAUCUUCUUAUUAAAUGAAGCGGUAGCAUGCCAUCUUUCUCUCAAAAAAAAAAUUUGUUGAUUUUUAAACCUUUCGUUCGCUAGAUAAAUAAUAUCAAAAAAUUACAAAAUUUAUUUUUUAGAUACUUCAAAUAUGUUAGAUCAAGUCUAACAGAGCCGAUUAUUAAUUCGAAAGUCCUAUUAUCAAAAACGGCUUAGGAGCACGGAGAUCUCCGUGCUCCUAUUAGUACACAAGACCUACUCGUAAGAGAGAAUAUCUUUUUGGAAACUGUAGAAGAUUGU
rnacentral:lncRNA from 1 species